rnacentral:rRNA from 1 species
AUUGAACGCUGGCGGCAUGCCUAACACAUGCAAGUCGAGCGGAGCGGCGGACGGGUGAGUAAUGCAUAGGUAUCUGCCCGGUAGUGGGGCUAACGUCCGCAAACGGGCGCUAAUACUGCCUACUACUAGAUGAGCCUAGGUCGGAUUAGCUAGUUGGUGGGGUAAAGGCCUACCAAGGCGACGAUCCGUAACUGGUCUGAGAGGAUGAUCAGUCACACUGGAACUGAGACACGGUCCAGACUCCUACGGGAGGCAGCAGUGGGGAAUAUUGGACAAUGGGCGAAAGCCUGAUCCAGCCAUGCCGCGUGUGUGAAGAAGGUCUUCGGAUUGUAAAGCACUUUAAGUUGGGAGGCGUUACCAACAGAAUAAGCACCGGCUAACUUCGUGCCAGCAGCCGCGGUAAUUC